GACGAACGCUGGCGGCGUGCUUAACACAUGCAAGUCGAACGGAAAGGCCCUGCUUUUGUGGGGUGCUCGAGUGGCGAACGGGUGAGUAACGCGUGAGUAACCUGCCCUUGACUUUGGGAUAACUUCAGGAAACUGGGGCUAAUACCGGAUAGGAGCUCCUGCUGCAUGGUGGGGGUUGGAAAGUUUCGGCGGUUGGGGAUGGACUCGCGGCUUAUCAGCUUGUUGGUGGGGGAGUGGCUUACCAAGGCUUUGACGGGUAGCCGGCCUGGGAGGGUGACCGGCCACAUGGGGACUGAGAGACGGACCAGACUGCUACGGGAGGCAGAAGUGGGGAAUAUUGCACAAUGGGCGGAAGCCUGAGGCAGCAACGCCGCGGGCGGGAUGACGGCCUUCGGGUUGUAAACCGCUUUCGCCUGUGACGAAGCGUGAGUGACGGUAAUGGGUAAAGAAGCACCGGCUAACUACGUG
rnacentral:rRNA from 1 species